rnacentral:rRNA from 1 species
CGUAGGGGGCAAGCGUUAUCCGGAAUUAUUGGGCGUAAAGAGUGCGUAGGUGGUUUUGUAAGCGCGAGGUGAAAGGCAAUAGCUCAACUAUUGUAAGCCUUGUGAACUGCAAGACUUGAGUGCAGGAGAGGAAAGUGGAAUUCCUAGUGUAGCGGUGAAAUGCGUAGAUAUUAGGAGGAACACCAGUGGCGAAGGCGACUUUCUGGACUGUAACUGACACUGAGGCACGAAAGCGUGGGGAGCAAACAGGAUUAGAUACCCUGGUAGUCCACGCCGUAAACGAUGAGCACUGGGUGUCGGGGCCGCAAGGUUUCGGUGCCGCAGUUAACGCAUUAAGUGCUCCGCCUGGGGAGUACGCACGCAAGUGUG